GGGUCAGUAGCUCAGUUGGUUAGAGCACCGUGUUGAUAACGCGGGGGUCAUAGGUUCGAUUCCUAUCUGACCCACCA
rnacentral:tRNA from 6 species